CCUAGGAUCUUCGGCAAUGAGCGAAAGCUUGACCGAGCGACGCCGCGUGCGGGAUGAAGGCCUUCGGGUUGUAAACCGCUUUCGUAGGGGAGGAAAUUUCGGUGGGAUCACUCAUCGAUUUGACCUAGCCUAGGAAGAAGGACGGGCUAAGUUCGUGCCAGCAGCCGCGGUAAUACGAACCGUCCAAACGUUAUUCGGAAUUACUGGGCUUAAAGGGUGCGUAGGCGGCCCGGGAAGUUGGGUGUGAAAGCCCUCGGCUCAACCGAGGAACUGCGCCCAGAACUGCCGGGCUCGAGGGAGAUAGAGGUGAGCGGAACUUAGGGUGGAGCGGUGAAAUGCGUUGAUAUCCUAAGGAACACCGGUGGCGAAAGCGGCUCACUGGGUCUCUUCUGACGCUGAGGCACGAAAGCUAGGGUAGCGAACGG
rnacentral:rRNA from 1 species